rnacentral:rRNA from 1 species
CCUACGGGAGGCAGCAGUGAGGAAUAUUGGUCAAUGGUCGGGAGACUGAACCAGCCAAGCCGCGUGAGGGAUGAAGGUACAGAGUAUCGUAAACCUCUUUUGUCAGGGAACAAAGUCGGGGACGCGUCCCCGGAUGCAUGUACCUGAAGAAAAAGCAUCGGCUAACUCCGUGCCAGCAGCCGCGGUAAUACGGAGGAUGCGAGCGUUAUCCGGAUUUAUUGGGUUUAAAGGGUGCGCAGGCGGUCUGUUAAGUCAGCGGUAAAAGCCCGGGGCUCAACCCCGAACCGCCGUUGAAACUGGCAGUCUCGAGUUGGAGAGAGGUAUGCGGAAUGCGUGGUGUAGCGGUGAAAUGCAUAGAUAUCGCGCAGAACCCCGAUUGCGAAGGCAGCCUGCCGGCUCCACACUGACGCUGAGGCACGAAAGCGUGGGGAUCGAACAGGAUUAGAUACCCCAGUAGUC